CUAAGCACGAAACUUGCCCCGAGAUGACUUCUCCCUGACCCUUUAAGGGUCCUGAAGGAACGUUGAAGACGACGACGUUGAUAGGCCGGGUGUGUAAGCGCAGCGAUGCGUUGAGCUAACCGGUACUAAUGAACCGUGAGGCUUAACCUUACAACGCCGAAGGUGUUU
rnacentral:rRNA from 1 species